UGACUCAUAGAGCUGCAAUCAGCCCUUCUCAGUUGCCCCGCUGAGCUUUUCCUACUUUUCUGUGCAUUGCAGAGUAUGGAGCAAUUCCAUCCAGUGCAGAUACAGUCAACUUCAGGCAUGAUAAACAGCUUGUUGGAGGACACACCUAAAUCCCUGGAGGGUUGUAAUGUUUUAAGAGAAGAAUUCUUUUGCUUCCUUCAGUUAAAUCAACCUGAAUAUAUUCUGUACUUGCAGGGCCUACAUCUAUUUUUGUCGAUUAUUCAUUAAUCCGAAAAGAAAACAGACAAGGAUCUUGGAAUUGCUGUUUGGUAAUACUUGGAGCUGUAGUUUAAUAAUAGCCACAGUCACAAUAUUCACCUUAUUCUUAUUCAUGAUGAGCAUUUGUUUCUUCUAUUAAAUCAGUGGUUUUGAAAUAUAUUUUAAUAAAUAUUUCUAUUUUUUUUUA